UACGUAGGGGGCGAGCGUUGUCCGGAAUUACUGGGCUUAAAGGGUGCGUAGGCGGCGCAGAAAGUAGGGUGUGAAAUCCCUCGGCUCAACCGAGGAACUGCGCCCUAAACUACUGUGCUCGAGGGAGGUAGAGGUGAGCGGAACUUAGGGUGGAGCGGUGAAAUGCGUUGAUAUCCUAAGGAACACCGGUGGCGAAAGCGGCUCACUGGACCUCUUCUGACGCUGAGGCACGAAAGCUAGGGUAGCGAACGGG
rnacentral:rRNA from 1 species